ACAUGCAAGUCGAACGGAAAGGCCCUUCGGGGUGCUCGAGUGGCGAACGGGUGAGUAACACGUGGGUGAUCUGCCCUGCACUUUGGGAUAAGCCUGGGAAACUGGGUCUAAUACCGAAUAGGACCGCAUGCUUCAUGGUGUGUGGUGGAAAGCUUUUGCGGUGUGGGAUGGGCCCGCGGCCUAUCAGCUUGUUGGUGGGGUAAUGGCCUACCAAGGCGACGACGGGUAGCCGGCCUGAGAGGGUGACCGGCCACACUGGGACUGAGAUACGGCCCAGACUCCUACGGGAGGCAGCAGUGGGGAAUAUUGCACAAUGGGCGCAAGCCUGAUGCAGCGACGCCGCGUGAGGGAUGACGGCCUUCGGGUUGUAAACCUCUUUCAGCAGGGACGAAGCGCAAGUGACGGUACCUGCAGAAGAAGGACCGGCCAACUACGUGCCAGCAGCCGCGGUAAUACGUAGGGUCCGAGCGUUGUCCGGAAUUACUGGGCGUAAAGAGCUCGUAGGUGGUUUGUCGCGUUGUUCGUGAAAACUCACAGCUUAACUGUGGGCGUGCGGGCGAUACGGGCAGACUGGAGUACUGCAGGGGAGACUGGAAUUCCUGGUGUAGCGGUGGAAUGCGCAGAUAUCAGGAGGAACACCGGUGGCGAAGGCGGGUCUCUGGGCAGUAACUGACGCUGAGGAGCGAAAGCGUGGGGAGCGAACAGGAUUAGAUACCCUGGUAGUCCACGCCGUAAACGGUGGGUACUAGGUGUGGGUUUCCUUCCUUGGGAUCCGUGCCGUAGCUAACGCAUUAAGUACCCCGCCUGGGGAGUACGGCCGCAAGGCUAAAACUCAAAGGAAUUGACGGGGGCCCGCACAAGCGGCGGAGCAUGUGGAUUAAUUCGAUGCAACKCGAAGAACCUUACCUGGGUUUGACAUGCACAGGACGCCUCUAGAGWUAGGKKUUCCCUUGUGGCCUGUGUGCAGGUGGUGCAUGGCUGUCG
rnacentral:rRNA from 1 species